UUUACCAAGCUAAACGACAUUCAGGAGGUUUCUCCAAUCAAUGGUAUGGGAUGACAGUGAAUGUUUGCUCUGCAUGCAUGAGUGUGAAACCUACUAGACGGAAGGAGCGAGGCUUCUUGCAUCACCAUGCGGAAAGCUGCCUACUGAACAGUGCAUGAUUGGUCCAUGACAUGAGUGAGAAACACACCCCUCAUAUAUGAGACCACCGAGAUUUGGAGGUUAUUUGUAUACAUAUUAGCCUACCUUGACUAAUACACCACUGUACAGCUCCAGGGGGAGCCAUGCUCAUAACUAGGAUGUGAAUGGUGGCCCUUCAGAGCUACACAGUACAUAGCCUGCAUGGCUGCACAGUAGCCCUACUUGUCUUUCCAAGAGAGAAGCCAGAAACACACUUUCCUAGUAUCCCUUGCAAUUGGAUAUGUGACCUAACCUCUGCCCUGCAAAUAUAGACACGUGCCAGAGUGAGGCUUUGGGAAACAAUGUGAAGGCAAGCACCAUUUUCCUGGUAAUGAUGAUGGUGGAGGCAUCGAGUUUCAGGGGAGGCAGUAAGAGCAGUUUUGGCAUCUAAUGCACAGCACCAGGUAUGAUCCCCAGGGCCUUUGCUGGUGUAGUGCUGUCAUAUGGUAGUACAUUGGGCAUUUUUCCUGGUUCUGUACUCUCCAAGCCUGAUUGAUUCUCCUGCAAAUUCUGUGACUUACGUAAGUGUCUUUACUAAAUUAAAUUUCUGCUUAACUAACUAAAUUGCUGUACUAUUUAGGAUGUAGGUUCAAUAUCUAAAACCACAAGCUCUACAGAUAAGAUUGAGAUCUUUUCUUUCUCAUGUAACCAUACAAGGUUGAUAUGGUGGCUCCACAGUGUUGGCAAACCCACUGACUCACCAAUCUUAGACAGUUGUCAUUAUCUGUCAACAUGGGUCACCAACAUUCUGGCAUUCUACUCAGUCAGAAAAAGAAAGGGAAGAUAUGCCUUUUCCCUUUAAGAACAUGACCUGGAUGUUGAACACAUCGCUUCCCCUUACAUCCUCCAUUGGCUAGAACAUAGUUAUAUGGCCAAACCUAGUGCAAGAGCAUCUGGGAAAUGAAGUGUGAAAGUUGUCAGAAUCAAAAUGGAGUCACUAAUGUUAAGAAAACUUUGACAAAUAGAGCCAGAGAAGGUCAUGAAGAGAAGAUUCAUAAAUUAGCCGGGCG
rnacentral:lncRNA from 10 species